rnacentral:rRNA from 1 species
UACGUAGGGUGCGAGCGUUGUCCGGAAUUAUUGGGCGUAAAGAGCUCGUAGGCGGUGUGUCACGUCGGCCGUGAAAACCUGGGGCUUAACUCUGGGCGUGCGGUCGAUACGGGCAUCACUAGAGUUCGGCAGGGGAGACUGGAAUUCCUGGUGUAGCGGUGAAAUGCGCAGAUAUCAGGAGGAACACCGGUGGCGAAGGCGGGGUCUCUGGGCCGAUACUGACGCUGAGGAGCGAAAGCGUGGGGAGCAAACAGG